CGGUACAAACUUUCAACCUACUGCCUACGGAAAACAGUAUAAUUAUUGAUUGGCAAAACACUUUGAAUCAAAUAUUUGCAUGUCCAGCACAUUGGUAUUAUGUAACUCUUCAAAAUGAAAAUACAGGCGAGAAUAUUAGUAACUCAACAGUUANCACUUUUCCCCAUGAAGUGUCACAUUUACCAUCAAAUACUCUUUUUAACGUAAUUAUAAUUCAUCCGCGAUUUGCUCAUACAAUCAUAAAACAUAGGAAUUACCUGUUCCUUACUCAAAUUCGUACAUUACGAAGCGUUUCCACAAAAGUAUUAGAUAUUCAAUAUGUUGCGAACUCGAGCACACAAGUCACUUUGAAAUGGAACUCUCCGGAUCACUUAACCAUAGUGCUGUAUAAAAUAUCAUUAAAGGUAACUUUAUGUAACUUGUAGUUAUACGUGUUCAAAUAUCGACAUAUAUGUAAACAUCUUUGUUUUCUAGAUAUUACUUCGAGUAUU